rnacentral:rRNA from 1 species
GAGUUUGUAUCCUGGCUCAGGAUGAACGCUAGCGGCAGGCUUAACACAUGCAAGUCGAGGGCAGCACGGGUAGCAAGUACCUGGUGGCGACCGGCAAACGGGUGCGGAACACGUACGCAAUUUACCUUUGUCUGGGGGAUAGCCCGAAGGAAAUUCGGAUUAACACCCAUAAUAUAUUUGGUUGGCAUCAAUUGAAUAGUUAAAACUCCGGUGGACAGAGAUGAGCGUGCGUCCCAUUAGCUAGUUGGCAGGGUAACGGCCUACCAAGGCGACGAUGGGUAGCUGGUGUGAGAGCACGACCAGCCACACGGGCACUGAGAUACGGCCCAGACUCCUACGGGAGCAGCAGUGGGGAAUAGUUGGACAAUGGGGGCAACCCUGAUCCAGCAAUGCCGCGUGAGUGAUGAAGGCCUUAGGGUUGUAAAGCUC